rnacentral:rRNA from 1 species
GAUGAACGCUAGCGGCAGGCUUGAUACAUGCAAGUCGAGGGGCAGCAGGUCCCGCAGCAAUGCGGGAUGCUGGCGACCGGCAAACGGGUGCGGAACACGUACAGAACCUUCCUUUAAGUGGGGAAUAGCCCGGGGAAACCCGGCUUAAUACCCCGUAACAUAAUGAAGUGGCAUCACUGUAUUAUUAUAGCAGCAAUGCGCUUGAAGAUGGCUGUGCGGCUGAUUAGGUAGUUGGCGGGGUAACGGCCCACCAAGCCUACGAUCAGUAACUGGUGUGAGAGCACGACCAGUCACACGGGCACUGAGACACGGGCCCGACUCCUACGGGAGGCAGCAGUAAGGAAUAUUGGGCAAUGGACGCAAGUCUGACCCAGCCAUGCCGCGUGGAGGAUGAAGGUCCUCUGGAUUGUAAACUUCUUUUAUCUGGGAAGAAAUCUAUUUUUUCUAAAGUAGUUGACGGUACCAGAUGAAUAAGCACCGGCUAACUCCGUGCCAGCAGCCGCGGUAA